UCGGGCAACUUUUUCUCGCUUCUGAGUGGCCGAACGAGUCAGAUGCGGAAAGACAAACAAGCCAACUCAGCUUGCAGGUAAGGCCUGUUUCCUGCACUAAUUGUACACAUUUUUUGUGAAUUUCUCUAAAAACAAAUGGUUAAAAGUUGCACCCUAAGCCAUAUAAAACACAGGUCAAAGUUUUAAAAGUCUCUACUGGUCUGCCCCCCAAAAGAGCUUGAUGUGGGAAUAAGGCAAACAUAACGAGAGUCAAAAGACAAGUUCUACGAGGAGCUCGACGCGGCUGUCAACACCAUCCCGAAAAAUGAGCAUCUGAUACUUCUGGGAGACUUCAAUGCCAGGAGGAGCAGAAGCAAAUAAACUUGGACCUGUCAUAAAUGGCUGCUGAAAGACGACACCGCGGAACGUCUCAAGCUUUGCCGUCCAUCAAUACCCACAG